GGCAGAGAGACUCUGGGGGUUGUUUGGUACUGAGUAUGGGUUAAAGGGACCGGCACAACAGAACGCUUGAAAAAUCUUCUCAGUUCCACCUGCCAUGUAACUAGUGCAAAUAAAGCCAAAUAAAACCUUGACUAUUUUCUCUUUCCUGGACCAGAACUCAUUCUAUAGCUCAGGCUGGUCACUGUGUGACCAAGGCUGGCUUCGGCUUCCAGAUCAUCUGCUUAGGCCUCUGGAGCACUGGGACUUGAGGCCUCAGCCACUCAUUAACCCUCUUCACAAUGUUAUCGAUCACUCUGGCCUAGUCACAUUCUAUUAGGCAUUUCUAUAGCCUACCUCUGAUGUUAUCACUCUUACACUCAAAAAAUGUCGAAAGCUACUGGGCCUACAGACUAAACUUCAGUUCUACUCUCUUUUAAGGACAUCUACGAGGCCAAGAUUAUCUUUCCAAUCUUGGCUCCUGUGACUGACUCAUCUGAUAUAUUCACCAACAACUCAAAUCUCAAAAGGUCCAAUGCUCUGUCUCUGAAGCAGUUUUCAGCAUCUUUUUAACAAGUGAUGAAAAUGUAUAUUGCUCCCUUUGGACUGCACUGCUGAAUUCAAAUACAGCUUCCUCAUUUCCUAAGAUAUGUUUGCCAGUUUUGAUUGGCAUUUCUUUUUAUGUUCCUUGUUUAUAUCACUCUACUUUGAAGUUAUCAUUAUUCAUAUGUAACUUUAUUAUGUAUUUCACAGCCUUAAAGAAGUCUUCCUUCCUAACAAGAGACCAGAAAAUAUAAUUUUUCUGCAUGUGCAAUCACUGUGUAUAGACUAUGAAAUGAGAGUUAUCAAAAGCUUCUUGAAUGAGUAUUUUUAUUAGUUUAUAGUUAAAAUAUAUCUAGAAUGGAUAGCAACUACACUGGUGCCUGCCUUUAUAAAAAACAAACAAACAAAAAACCAGCUUCCCUAUGUUCCCUAUGUCCACUGUUUAUCCUUCCAUUCCUUUUUAUGAAUCAUGUGACUGCAUGACCUAUAAAAAAUUAUACCUGAAAUUAUGUACAGCAUGAAUUUAAAAUGCAGCAUCCCUGAUACCACAAACAUUUAGGCAGGAUUCUGAUUUAAACGUUUUUAAUUGGUAUGCUGUGAACCAAUUAUCAAUCCAAUGAUUUAAUAGACAUUUUUUAAAAAGACAUUUUUUUCCUACUGGUCACCAUGACUCAAAACUCCCUUAGUUGAAAAGUGAACAAAUAUUCUUAAAAGAGAGGUUAAAUAUAUUAUGUCAUUAUCUGUUGUCAAAUUAUCUAGGAUUGUUUAUCACAUUAGAAUAAUAAAGGAAAGCCACAAAGAGGCUAUGUAUAGUCUCUCUAAUUCCUGUUUCUUUCCUCUUCCUCCCAAGUAACUAAAUUAAGUUUGUUUCACUCAAAGAACAUUUGUAUUAGUCAAAGAACCCAUUUAGGAAUCCUAGCAGCCUGAUCCAAGCCAACUAGAGCAGGGGAUGGCUGUGUGAAUGUUCUUACUGUCUCUAGACAUCUGCCUUUCUCUCCAGUCAAUGUCACUCAGCCUGAGAGGACUGCACAGGGGCUACUCUUGUUUAUCUCUGGAUCCUCCCCAAUGUCACAGUGCCACGCACUUUAGAGAGAGUAAUUCAAGCUCUCAAUGCUACUGUUGCAAGGCUCCCAACUCUUCGCUAGGAAGCUGGAAACUUUCAGACCUAAACCUGUCGUUUGUACUUACUGCCCCUUGUUCUCAUCAAACUCCAUCCCCCGAGAGCAUACUUGGCGCUGGCACUCAGCAACUGGGCAGGCAAAAACAAAACAACCACCAAAACAAAACAAAAAACCCC
rnacentral:lncRNA from 1 species